UAAAAACACAAGAGCCAAGUACAAUACACAC
rnacentral:piRNA from 1 species